rnacentral:rRNA from 1 species
AUACGUAGGUGGCAAGCGUUGUCCGGAAUUAUUGGGCGUAAAGCGCGCGCAGGCGGUCCUUUAAGUCUGAUGUGAAAGCCCACGGCUCAACCGUGGAGGGUCAUUGGAAACUGGGGGACUUGAGUGCAGAAGAGGAAAGUGGAAUUCCAAGUGUAGCGGUGAAAUGCGUAGAGAUUUGGAGGAACACCAGUGGCGAAGGCGACUUUCUGGUCUGUAACUGACGCUGAGGCGCGAAAGCGUGGGGAGCAAACAGAAUUAGAUACCCUGGUAGUCCACGCCGUAAACGAUGAGUGCUAAGUGUUAGGGGGUUUCCGCCCCUUAGUGCUGCAGCUAACGCAUUAAGCACUCCGCCUGGGGAGUACGGUCGCAAGACUGAAACUCAAAGGAAUUGACGGGG